rnacentral:rRNA from 1 species
GAUGAACGCUAGCGGCAGGCCUAAUACAUGCAAGUCGAACGGUGUAGCAAUACACAGUGGCGCACGGGUGCGUAACACGUAUGCAACCUACCUAUUAUUGGGGGACAGCCUGUGGAAACGGAGAUUAAUACCGCAUAAGACAGUGACAUGGCAUCAUGUAGCUGUUAAAGCUUCGGCGAUAAUAGAUGGGCAUGCGUCCAAUUGGUUAGCUGGUGUGGUAAUGCCUAAACAAGAAGAUGAUUGGUAGGGGAUCUGAGAGGAUAAUCCCCCACACUGGCACUGAGUUACGGGCCAGACUCCGACGGGAGGCAGCAGUAGGGAAUAUUGGGCAAUGGGCGGAAGCCUGACCCAGCCAUGCCGCGUGCAGGAUGACGGCGUUAUGCGUUGUAAACUGCUUUUUUCUAGGGAGAAGAAGCCCUUGCGAGGGAAAGUGACGGUACUAUAAGAAUAAGCACCGGCUAACUCCGUGCCAGCCGCCGCGGUAAGAC